rnacentral:rRNA from 1 species
UACAACGAGUCGCAAGACCGCGAGGUUUAGCAAAUCUCUUAAAGCCGUUCUCAGUUCGGAUUGUAGGCUGCAACUCGCCUACAUGAAGUCGGAAUCGCUAGUAAUCGCGGAUCAGCAUGCCGCGGUGAAUACGUUCCCGGGCCUUGUACACACCGCCCGUCACACCAUGAGAGUUUGUAACACCCAAAGCCGGUGGGGUAACCUUUUGGAGCCAGCCGUCUAAGGUGGGACAGAUGAUUGGGGUGAAGUCGUAACAAGGUAGC